rnacentral:rRNA from 1 species
GCACUUCGCUGACGAGUGGCGGACGGGUGAGUAAUGCUUGGGAACUUGCCUUUAGGUGGGGGAUAACAGUUGGAAACGACUGCUAAUACCGCAUAAUGUCUACGGACCAAAGGGGGCUUCGGCUCCCGCCUUGAGAGAGGCCCAAGUGAGAUUAGCUAGUUGGUGGGGUAAAGGCCUACCAAGGCAACGAUCUCUAGCUGUUCUGAGAGGAAGAUCAGCCACACUGGGACUGAGACACGGCCCAGACUCCUACGGGAGGCAGCAGUGGGGAAUAUUGCACAAUGGGGGAAACCCUGAUGCAGCCAUGCCGCGUGUGUGAAGAAGGCCUUCGGGUUGUAAAGCACUUUCAGUUGUGAGGAAAGGUUGGUAGUUAAUACCUGCCAGCUGUGACGUUAACAACAGAAGAAGCACCGGCUAACUCCGUGCCAGCAGCCGCGGUAAUACGGAGGGUGCGAGCGUUAAUCGGAAUUACUGGGCGUAAAGCGCACGCAGGCGGCUUGUUAAGCUAGAGGUGAAAGCCCCGCGCUCAACGUGGGAACUGCCUUUAGAACUGGCAGGCUAGAGUCUUGGAGAGGGGAGUGGAAUUCCAGGUGUAGCGG